GAGUUUGAUCCUGGCUCAGAGCGAACGCUGGCGGCAGGCCUAACACAUGCAAGUCGAGCGGGCACCUUCGGGUGUCAGCGGCAGACGGGUGAGUAACACGUGGGAACGUGCCCUUUGGUUCGGGACAACUCCGGGAAACUGGAGCUAAUACCGGAUAAGCCCUUCGGGGGAAAGAUUUAUCGCCAAAGGAUCGGCCCGCGUCUGAUUAGCUAGUUGGUGAGGUAAUGGCUCACCAAGGCGACGAUCAGUAGCUGGUCUGAGAGGAUGAUCAGCCACACUGGGACUGAGACACGGCCCAGACUCCUACGGGAGGCAGCAGUGGGGAAUAUUGGACAAUGGGCGCAAGCCUGAUCCAGCCAUGCCGCGUGAGUGAUGAAGGCCCUAGGGUUGUAAAGCUCUUUUGGCGGGGAAGAUAAUGACGGUACCCGCAGAAUAAGCCCCGGCUAACUUCGUGCCAGCAGCCGCGGUAAUACGAAGGGGGCUAGCGUUGCUCGGAAUCACUGGGCGUAAAGGGCGCGUAGGCGGCCAUUCAAGUCGGGGGUGAAAGCCCAGGGCUCAACCCUGGAAUUGCCUUCGAUACUGUUUGGCUAGAGACCGGAAGAGGUAAGUGGAACUGCGAGUGUAGAGGUGAAAUUCGUAGAUAUUCGCAAGAACACCAGUGGCGAAGGCGGCUUACUGGUCCGGUUCUGACGCUGAGGCGCGAAAGCGUGGGGGAGCAAACAGGAUUAGAUACAA
rnacentral:rRNA from 1 species